AUGAGUAAGCUCCGAAGAUCUCUCUGUUUCCUGGCGCUCUCUUCCUCAGAUUUCGCCGGACUAACCAAUCAACAGUUUCACGGGAGAUUACGGCUGGACAUCGAUGUGAAUUGAAACAGCAGAGUGAACAAGUGGGGAAAUGCCUUCUUAGAAAGCAGUUGAUCCAGAAAUAGCAGGAUUUAGCUGGAGAUGCUUUGCAGUGAAAAGGAUCAUUCAACUAGAAUUGUCAUAUUAGUAAUCUUAUAUGGACUCACUGGACAAGUCAACAAAAAGAUGCUGGCAAAGAACGUGAUGAACGUCAGUUACCGGUCCCAACAGAUAUGGCUUUUGGGGGCUUUCGACAAUAUAUGGUGGGCCUAACAUGGCAAAUACAUAAAGAAAAGAUGAGUUAGCACCUCUUCAGCCGUGGUAAGAGACUACUCAAAUUUAGGAAGUCUAAAUUAUAUUCACAUUUGGUUAGUAGUGAUGCCGUCUUAAGACAAAUUGAGCCAGAAACUUGCAGCCAUUGUGUUGCAUCAAAGGUGAGAAUAGUCUUGUCUAUGCUAGUUGCAUGAAAAUUGAAAUAGUUCAAAUCUAUGUGAGCUGGAUAGGGCAUUUUUGUCGAAGGGGCAACUGCGGUCAAUGAAAAAUUCCUACUCAGCUAAGCCAUUUAUGUUCUUUUCCGAUUACUUCUUUAUCUCUUGUUGCAUUGUCAAUAAUCUACCUAUAGCUUUUUCGAAAUUGUGGUAAAGUUUCUCCAUGAAGAAAUUUGUUUUACCUGGAUUGCUGGCUUAUACUUUUCUUUCCCAGUGCAGUAAAAUAUGUUAUGGAUUUGUUUUAUCAGGAACGGCAGGAGUUGAAUGUUUGUUUCUGUGGUGGGGGAGGACAGGAUCACAGGAAAAACUGCAGAUUGUAUUGAAAUUUAUUCACGUAUGGAUGGCUCAGCCGACUCAACAGUAACACAAGAUUUGUCCAGGGGAGAAGAGAAAAUGUUUAAUAAUCGCACACGAAUGCAACUCUCUAAUUAUUAUAAACAAUAUAUAUUUAAAUUAUAUGAAUGAAUACCACACAUAGUAAUUAAACA